rnacentral:rRNA from 1 species
ACGGGAGGCAGCAGUGGGGAAUAUUGGGCAAUGGGCGCAAGCCUGACCCAGCAACGCCGCGUGAAGGAAGAAGGCCCUCGGGUUGUAAACUUCUUUUGUCAGGGACGAAGCAAGUGACGGUACCUGACGAAUAAGCCACGGCUAACUACGUGCCAGCAGCCGCGGUAAUACGUAGGUGGCAAGCGUUAUCCGGAUUUACUGGGUGUAAAGGGCGUGUAGGCGGGAUUGCAAGUCAGAUGUGAAAACCACGGGCUCAACCUGUGGCCUGCAUUUGAAACUGCAGUUCUUGAGUACUGGAGAGGCAGACGGAAUUCCUAGUGUAGCGGUGAAAUGCGUAGAUAUUAGGAGGAACACCAGUGGCGAAGGCGGUCUGCUGGACAGCAACUGACGCUGAGGCGCGAAAGCGUGGGGAGCAAACAGGAUUAGAUACCCUGGUA